rnacentral:rRNA from 1 species
UACGGAGGGGGCUAGCGUUGUUCGGAAUUACUGGGCGUAAAGCGCACGUAGGUGGCUUUGUAAGUUAGAGGUGAAAGCCCGGAGCUCAACUCCGGAAUUGCCUUUAAGACUGCAUCGCUCGAAUCAUGGAGAGGUGAGUGGAAUUCCGAGUGUAGAGGUGAAAUUCGUAGAUAUUCGGAAGAACACCAGUGGCGAAGGCGACUCACUGGACAUGUAUUGACGCUGAGGUGCGAAAGCGUGGGGAGCAAACAGG